UAGGGAAUAUUGGACAAUGGGUGAGAGCCUGAUCCAGCCAUGCCGCGUGUAGGAAGAAGGCGUUAUGCGUUGUAAACUGCUUUUGCCAGGGGAUAAAACGGCUUUGCGAAGCUAAUUGAAGGUACCUGGUGAAUAAGCCACGGCUAACUACGUGCCAGCAGCCGCGGUAAUACGUAGGUGGCAAGCGUUGUCCGGAUUUAUUGGGUUUAAAGGGUGCGUAGGCGGCCCUGUAAGUCAGUGCUGAAAUAUCCCGGCUUAACCGGGAGGGUGGCAUUGAUACUGCAGGGCUUGAGUACAGAUGAAGUAGGCGGAAUUGACGGUGUAGCGGUGAAAUGCAUAGAUAUCGUCAAGAACACCGAUAGCGAAGGCAGCUUACUAAGCUGUAACUGACGCUGAGGCACGAAAGUGUGGGGAUCAAACAG
rnacentral:rRNA from 1 species